AUUGAACGCUGGCGGCAGGCCUAACACAUGCAAGUCGAGCGGAUGAAGGGAGCUUGCUCCUGGAUUCAGCGGCGGACGGGUGAGUAAUGCCUAGGAAUCUGCCUGGUAGUGGGGGAUAACGUCCGGAAACGGGCGCUAAUACCGCAUACGUCCUGAGGGAGAAAGUGGGGGAUCUUCGGACCUCGCGCUAUCAGAUGAGCCUAGGUCGGAUUAGCUAGUUGGUGGGGUAAAGGCCUACCAAGGCGACGAUCCGUAACUGGUCUGAGAGGAUGAUCAGUCACACUGGAACUGAGACACGGUCCAGACUCCUACGGGAGGCAGCAGUGGGGAAUAUUGGACAACGGGCGAAAGCCUGAUCCAGCCAUGCCGCGUGUGUGAAGAAGGUCUUCGGAUUGUAAAGCACUUUAAGUUGGGAGGAAGGGCAGUAAGUUAAUACCUUGCUGUUUUGACGUUACCAACAGAAUAAGCACCGGCUAACUUCGUG
rnacentral:rRNA from 1 species